AUUGAACGCUGGCGGCAUGCUUUACACAUGCAAGUCGAACGGUAACAGGGAGCUUGCUCCGCUGACGAGUGGCGAACGGGCGAGUAAUGCGUCGGAACGUGCCGAGUAGUGGGGGAUAACGCAGCGAAAGUUGUGCUAAUACCGCAUACGUACUGAGGUAGAAAGUGGGGGACCUUCGGGCCUCACGCUAUUCGAGCGGCCGACGUCUGAUUAGCUAGUAGGUGAGGUAAAGGCUCACCUAGGCGACGAUCAGUAGCGGGUCUGAGAGGAUGAUCCGCCACACUGGGACUGAGACACGGCCCAGACUCCUACGGGAGGCAGCAGUGGGGAAUUUUGGACAAUGGGCGAAAGCCUGAUCCAGCCAUGCCGCGUGUCUGAAGAAGGCCUUCGGGUUGUAAAGGACUUUUGUCGGGGAGGAAAUCCCCAGCGUUAAUACCGCUGGGGGAUGACAGUACCUGAAGAAUAAGCACCGGCUAACUACGUGCCAGCAGCCGCGGUAACAC
rnacentral:rRNA from 1 species